GGGGACGUCGUUCAAUGGGAGGACGGCGCGUUCGCAAUGCGCAAAUGGGGGUUCGAUUCCCCUCGUCUCCA
rnacentral:tRNA from 1 species